AGGCCGGCGCUCUCACCAAGGAGAAGGCCAUGUUCAGUUCGAGCGCGAAGAUCGUGAUGCCCAAUGGCGAGAAGCCGGACGAGUUCGAGUCCGGCAUCUCCCAGGCUCUCCUUGAGUUGGAGAUGAACUCCGACCUCAAAGCCCAGCUGAGGGAGCUGAAUAUCACGGCCGCCAAGGAAAUUGAAGUUGGCGGUGGUCGGAAAGCUAUUAUCAUCUUUGUUCCCGUUCCUCAGCUGAAAUCUUUCCAGAAAAUCCAAGUCCGGCUAGUGCGUGAAUUGGAGAAAAAGUUCAGUGGGAAGCACGUUUGUUUUUACCGCUCAGAGGAGAAUUCCGCCUAAGCCAACUCAAAAAAGCCGUACAAAAAAUAAGCAAAAGCGUCCCAGGAGCCGCACUUUGACAGACCCGUGCACGACGCGAUCCUGGAGGACUUGGUUUUCCCAAGUGAAAUUGUGGGCAAGAGAAUCUGUGUGAAACUGGAUGGCAGCUGGCUGAUCAAGGUUCAUUUGGAUAAAGCACAGCAGAACAACGUGGAACACAAGGUUGAAACUUUUUCUGGCGUCUAUAAGAAGCUUACAGGCAAGGAUGAUAACUUUGAGUUCCUAGAGUUUCAGUUGUAAACAAAAAUGAUUAAAUAAAACUUUCACAGUAAAAAAA